rnacentral:rRNA from 1 species
GAUGAACGCUGGCGGCAUGCCUAAUACAUGCAAGUCGAGCGAAGCGGGGACGGGUGAGUAACACGUGGAAAACCUCCUAUAAGACGGGGAAAACAUCGGGAAAACGGAGAUAAACCGGAAAAUUAGCGAAGGAGCCGCGCUGCAUUAGCUAGGUGGUAGGGUAACGGCUUACCAAGGCCACGAUGCAUAGCCGAUCUGAGAGGAGGAUCGGCCACACUGGAACUGAGACACGGUCCAGACUCCUACGGGAGGCAGCAGUAGGGAAUCUUCCGCAAUGGGCGAAAGCCUGACGGAGCAAUGCCGCGUGUGUGAUGAAGGUCUUCGGAUCGUAAAACUCUUUUAUUAGGGAAGCGUUACCUAAUCAGAAAGCCACGGCUAACUCCGUGCCAGCAGCCGCGGUAAUAC